UUUACAUAUUAACACUUGUUAUAAGCUGUAAACUGUUUCCAAAUGUUGCUAAGAUCCCUUGAUUUCUUAACCAAAUUAAACUUAAGAGGCUUUAACAGAAUUCUGAUAAAGUCAAACUAUGUGUUUCAGAAACAAUCAUCUUAUCGGAAUUAUGUUUAGAACAAUAUCCACAAAGAGACCAGCUUAGAUGCUACAGACAUAUAAGAAUUUUGUUUAGAAGGCCAUUGAUACAAGAUGCUACUAACUUAUCAGAAUUCUGUUAAGAAGGCUAUUGUUAUGAGAUGCGACAGUCUUAUCAGAAUUCUGCUAAGAAGACUAUUGCUUUGAGAUGCGACAGUCUUAUCAGAAUUCUGUUAAGUAUGCUAUUGCUAUCAGAUGUGAGUCUUAUCAGAAUUCCGUUAAGGGUUUCAUUGGUACUAUAUUCGAUUCUUAUCAGAAUUCUGUUAAGAGGGCUAUUGUUAUGAGAUGCGACUGUCUUAUCAGAAUUCUGUUAAGAAGGCUAUUGUUAUUAGAUGUAAGUCUUAUCAGAAUUCCGUUAAGGGUUUCAUUGGUACUAUAUUCGAUUCUUAUCAGAAUUCUGUUAAGAAGGCUAUUGUUAUCAGAUGCGACUGUCUUAUCAGAAUUCUGUUAAGAAGGCUAUUGUUAUCAGAUGUGAGUCUUAUCAGAAUUCCGUUAAGGGUUUCAUUGGUACUAUAUUCGAUUCUUAUCAGAAUUCUGUUAAGAAGGCUAUUGUUAUCAGAUGCGACUGUCUUAUCAGAAUUCUGUUAAGAAGGCUAUUGUUAUUAGAUGUAAGUCUUAUCAGAAUUCCGUUAAGGGUUUCAUUGGUACUAUAUUCGAUUCUUAUCAGAAUUCUGUUAAGAAGGCUAUUGUUAUCAGAUGCGACUGUCUUAUCAGAAUUCUGUUAAGAAGGUUAAUGUUAUGAGAUGCGAAUGUCUUAUCAGAAUUCUGUUAAGAAGGCUAUUGUUAUCAGAUGUGAGUCUUAUCAGAAUUCCGUUAAGGGUUUCCACUGGUACUAUAUUUGAAGUGUUAUCAGAAUUCUGUUAAGAAUUAUAUUGUUAUCAGACGCGACAAUCUUAUCACUGAGAAUUCUGUUAAGGACAAAAUGUAUAUUGAAAUGUUGGCAUAUCAUUAUUAAGAAAUACUGUAAAGGACAUGCAGGAUAUUGACAUUUAUCAUAUACUUAGAGUAAAUAACUUAUAAUUUUUACAGUAUGAUAAUAGCAUUAAAUUUACGUGAAUUCCAUAUUUUCCGAAAUGAUGUUUAGCGGGCUGAUAUGAAAAAUUAAUCAAAUGCUUCCGAUUAUUAUCACAUGCCUUUCCGUAACGUUAUCGUAUGGCAUUCCGGCGUUACUCGGCAAAUUCCGGAAAAUACAUCUCAAUGCUACGUUUUCAGUGAAAAACUUUACAAAGUAGGGUACAAAACAAUUAUUAGGAAACAGGAACAUUAUUUUACUUUUUAUAUUAUGUAAAAUGCAAAAAAAAAAACAAACAUAAAAACAAACAAACCAAGUGAUACAAUAAAUGCAUUUUUUAAAGUUUCCAGCAUAAUUUAGAAAGUCACUUUAUAAACGUUGACUUUUCCAAACAGUGUCUAUUAUGUUUUGUUGAUUUUUUUUUAUCGUCAAUAUAAAAAUGUAUAAUUUUACUGUUGUUUUUCUCCUCUGUUGAGGCAUAUGAUAGAAAGAUUUCAUAUCGGAUGUAUUACAUUUGGUGUCCGACGUCCGUAAAAUUUUCACUUUUUGAACUUCUACUUGAGAACCACUUAACCGGAUCAAUAUAUUAAACUGUUAUUUUUCUCCAUUAUUGAAGCAUAUGAUAAAAAGAUCAUAACAUGUCAUUUUUCAUAUCAAAUGUAUUAUCAGCCCUCGGUUAAUAUCAGCCCUCGAGC